rnacentral:rRNA from 1 species
CAGUCGCCACGGUAAUACAGAGGGUGCAAGCGUUAAUCGGAAUUACUGGGCGUAAAGCGCGCGUAGGUGGUUUGUUAAGUUGGAUGUGAAAUCCCCGGGCUCAACCUGGGAACUGCAUCCAAAACUGGCAAGCUAGAGUAUGGUAGAGGGUGGUGGAAUUUCCUGUGUAGCGGUGAAAUGCGUAGAUAUAGGAAGGAACACCAGUGGCGAAGGCGACCACCUGGACUGAUACUGACACUGAGGUGCGAAAGCGUGGGGAGCAAACAGGAUUAGAUACCCCAGUAGUCCCUGUCUCUUAUAA